rnacentral:misc_RNA from 1 species
CUUGAACUCAGAUGAAACUGGAUCUGUUUACUUGGGUGAAGGACCUGCUGUUUCUGAAGAGAAACAUCCUGAAAUCUUUACCAUACUGAAAGAGUCAUUCCUGACGGCUUUUAGGGGUAUGGAUAAAGAUCUUAAAAAUAAUACACAUAUUGAUUGCUUCUGUAGCGGAACAACAGCUGUCACUUUGAUCAAGCAGGGUCAAGAUCUCAUAAUAGGGAAUAUUGGUGAUUCAAGAGCUAUACUCGGUACUAGAGAUCAAAAUGACUGCUUGACUGCAAUUCAGCUAACGGUGGACCUCAAACCAAAUCUACCAAGGGAGGAAGAGAGAAUUAGGAAGUGCAGGGGCCGUGUUUUCGCUCUUCAGGAUGAGCCAGAGGUGGCUAGGGUUUGGCUGCCACAUAACGACUCUCCAGGGUUGGCGAUGGCAAGAGCCUUCGGAGAUUUUUGUCUGAAAGAAUAUGGUUUAAUUUCUGUGCCUGAGAUUUCAUAUCGUCAACUCACCGAGAAAGAUGAGUUCAUUGUGCUAGCCACUGAUGGGGUCUGGGAUGUGCUAUCUAACAAAGAAGUGGUAGACAUUAUCAUCUCUGCUCCGGCUCGAUCGUCUGCAGCUCGUUCCUUGGUUGAGUCAGCCGUCAGGGCCUGGAGGUACAAGUAUCCAACCUCGAAAAUAGACGACUGUGCUGUUGUUUGCCUCUUUCUGAACUCAGAUGCACCGGACAAUCUCUCCACUGCGAGGGCUGGAGAACCGGAAGAGACGGAUACAACAGGAUGUGGCAGUGCCAAAGGAGAGGUGGCAGCUCCUGUGAAUCUGGACCGAUCUGGCACCGUUCGUUCUGGCUCUGAGAUCCGCCCUGACGAGCGCAAGGAUCCGAUGGCUACACCGCCACCAACUGAACAACUCUCUGAUGGCAGCACCCCGAGGGAGGGUGAAGACUGGUCUGCACUAGAGGGCGUGUCCCGUGUGAACACCCUUCUGACACUGCCGAGGUA